ensembl:lncRNA
CUCUCGCACAUUUUUUACUCUAACUGGUAAAUGAAGCAGGAAGUCGUACAGGAAGUGCUGUGCUCAGCUGAAACAGCACAGUGGGAGGGAGAACUGAAAGCAUGACAGUUUGCUGCAGCGUCCUCGUGGUGUCAUCAUGUCAAGUGCCAUUUUAACAAAACUCUUCAUCCUCCUCAUCUUGGCCUUCAUUGUUUGCCUCCCGGAGUUCUUCAACUACAGAGAUCCAGCCGAAGAGCUUCACUUCCACUGUGUGACCACUGACCCCUGUGCAGACGGACCAGGGCCUGGGUGUGUCUCAGCCGCUGGCUCUGAGGUGCAGAUGUGUGAGGGGUGUGAUUCCCCGAGGAGGCACUCGAUCUGCAGGGGACGGCAGAACAGGACAGAGUGGGAGCGCUAUGAUGCCUGGUUCCUCUGUGAGACGCAGGUGGACCUGAGGCGUCUCUGUAGCAACGACUCGUUUGCAGGUAUCGAUGUGUGGCUGCUGCUGAUUAACAGCUCUUCCAAGCAGAACCUCACCUUUCACAGCCUCAUCAAAAACAGCUCACUCAUCAGCAGCACAGCGCAGGACCCCGGCCUGUUCUACUGCUGCGAGAGCCCCCCCGAGCCGGCCGCCUCCGGCGGCAGCCGCUGCCUCCUUCACAGUCCCGUGGCCAACUACUCCGCCCUGCAGCACACGGGACGGGAGAACGGCUUCUGUGCAAGGAAAUUUGUCUGGCUGGUCCUCAUUUUCACCGUGGUCCUCACAGUCUUCAUAGCCAUUCUUCAUCAGGUUUUGUACAAGAGGAAGCCUAUGACUGAAGGCACCCAGAAGGUUCCUGCCCCAACCAGCCUCCACGAGCUGCACGAAUUAAAAGAAAUGAGAAUACUAACUGGUCCUGCCCAGGCUCCACCAUCAAGAAACUCCAAAGGUACACACAAUGUUUUAUCUGGAUUUUACUGGAACAGCAAUCAGAAAAAAAUCUCAAGAGACACACGUCACAGUAUUUUACACAUAUCAUCAAAUGAGUAA